GACAAAGAUGAUGAUGUAAGUAACAUUGGUUUACAGCGUUGUCUGUGUUGGCGAGGUCACCCCUUCAGGCUUUACUGCACCUCACCUGCUACCCAGAUACUGAGAUGUGUCUGUAUGGAUGACCCUUCUCUGCAAGUUCCCUUCAAGAGCCAACCUCUCUUGCUGUUCUUCUAUAUGUGUCCUUUCAUCUCGGCUGCGCUCUUUAUACCUUCCCUCCUGUUUCAUGUCAUCACCUCCCUCACUUGCUCUUCUGUUUUUCCCUUACAUAAAAUAACACAGAAUAGAACUUUACUUUUUAUUUGUUAUAC